rnacentral:lncRNA from 1 species
UCGGGUCUGCCGUUCAAAUUGCAUGUCGGGUCCCGGUCGAUGUCCAUUGCCACGCCUAAAUUAACAAUUUUCUCCCUCCGACGGGGGUCUGGAAAUUUCGGUGUUUUUCUCUCUCUCAACGAAGGUCGGGGACUAGAAUCUCUCUCAGAGAAUUUCUCUUUCCGAAGGACACUCUGUCUCUACUAAGCAUCUCUCUCCUACAAACUCUCUACCCCCAUUGCCUAAAAAUUUCAAAAAACGCAAUUCUCGAGCUAAAGUAUCCGCAAUCUAGCUCCUGGGUCUUCUUCAGAAUUUCAUUUUCUGUCCUCUGCUAGUAAGUUUUUUUCACGAUUUUUAAUGCAUUUCAUGGUUUUCUCCAAUCCUUUUGGUUUCUCCCUCAUAAUUUAUUGGUUAUUUUAUUGAUUUCUUUUAUUGUUCUCUGUGUUUGAAUCUUGAUUUUGCAGGAAGGCUUUCGAUAAAACCAAUGGUUCUUAGCAUGUUUUGAAGGAAACAUCAGCCUCUUGAGGUAUUUAAGCUUUCCCCCCCCCCCCCUCUCUCUCUCUCUCUCUCUCUCUCUCUCUCUCUCUCUCUC